rnacentral:antisense_RNA from 1 species
GGCCACAUCUGCCAGAGCCUGGAGUCUGCGAAGGCCGGGACCCGGUUCCCCGGCCCACCGUGGGGGGGGGUGUGCAAACCCGAGAGAACUGGGAAGUGCCGUCAGAAGCGAUAACUGACGACGUCUAAUGUCUAUCUGACCGCAGUCGCUGAAACCUCUACAACUUAGUUGACCGUAACUGCCAGAGCCCUGCCCUGAAUUCCUGUCCUUACUCCCUCUUUAAGAUUGCGUACCCACUGCAGAGUGCUGAAGACGGGGUAGCCACGAGGUUGCAAAUUCGUGAAGAAUCAGCAUCAUGUUUGGCAGCUGAGUAUUGGAGCCAGGAGCCUGCCAUGAGCCGAUGCAGCCUCAGUGUUCCUUUGCCUUGGGGGUUUCUGAGUGGGGGGGUUGUAAGCAGAUCCUGCCAGGCACCCAGAAGGAAACCUCAUCAGGACUCCCUCAGAAAGCAGGCCCUGAAGAAUCCUGUGACCUUCCUCUAAAGUAGGUCGUGAGACCCCUGAGCUUAAAACGGAGUGAUCGGCUUUGGAGAAAAAUCCCUGGAAGGCACGCAGGCUGGACAUCAUCAUAUAUUCUCUACAGAUGGAGACACCAAAGCCCACGCCUUCUGUGCUGUUGGAAUUUCAGGAAGGAUGGGGGUGGGGCACGGCCUCAGCCCUGGGCAUGUUCUGCAGAUUGCACUGCUCUUAUCUGCCAGGGGGUGGUGAGAGGGUGGCUGAGCUGGACAGAUGGCGGGCAGGGACGGGCUCUGCGGUCUGGCAGCUGACAUUGAUACAAGCAAAUAAAGUCCUUGCUGGGG